GUGCAAGAGGAGGGAUUCGAACCCUCACGCCCAUCACAGGCAUGGCAUUCUAAGUGCCACAUGUCUACCAAUUCCAACACUCUCGC
rnacentral:tRNA from 1 species